AUUGAACGCUGGCGGCAUGCCUUACACAUGCAAGUCGAACGGCAGCGGGGACUUCGGUCCGCCGGCGAGUGGCGAACGGGUGAAUAAUGUAUCGGAACGUACCAUUCAGUGGGGGAUAACUAUCCGAAAGGAUAGCUAAUACCGCAUAUUCUGUGAGCAGGAAAGCAGGGGAUCGCAAGACCUUGCGCUGAUUGAGCGGCCGAUAUCAGAUUAGCUAGUUGGUGAGGUAACGGCUCACCAAGGCUACGAUCUGUAGCGGGUCUGAGAGGAUGAUCCGCAACACUGGGACUGAGACACGGCCCAGACUCCUACGGGAGGCAGCAAUGGGGAAUUUUGGACAAUGGGCGCAAGCCUGAUCCAGCCAUGCCGCGUGAGUGAAGAAGGCCUUCGGGUUGUAAAGCUCUUUCGGCCGGGAAGAAAUCGCAUCAGCUAAUACCUGGUGUGGAUGACGGUACCGGAAUAAGAAGCACCGGCUAACUACGUGCCAGCCGCCGCCGUAACAC
rnacentral:rRNA from 1 species